CAGGUCUGUGAUGAGAGGUGCAGGGGUACAGACCUCAGCCAAUGAUGGGGGCUGAGUGCUGCUGCGCAGUCUG
rnacentral:snoRNA from 1 species